UGCAGUCGAACGAUGAUCCGGUGCUUGCACCGGGGAUUAGUGGCGAACGGGUGAGUAACACGUGAGUAACCUGCCCUUAACUCUGGGAUAAGCCUGGGAAACUGGGUCUAAUACCGGAUAUGACUGAUCAUCGCAUGGUGGUUGGUGGAAAGCUUUUUGUGGUUUUGGAUGGACUCGCGGCCUAUCAGCUUGUUGGUGAGGUAAUGGCUUACCAAGGCGACGACGGGUAGCCGGCCUGAGAGGGUGACCGGCCACACUGGGACUGAGACACGGCCCAGACUCCUACGGGAGGCAGCAGUGGGGAAUAUUGCACAAUGGGCGAAAGCCUGAUGCAGCGACGCCGCGUGAGGGAUGACGGCCUUCGGGUUGUAAACCUCUUUCAGUAGGGAAGAAGCGAAAGUGACGGUACCUGCAGAAGAAGCGCCGGCUAACUACGUGCCAGCAGCCGCGGUAAUACGUAGGGCGCAAGCGUUAUCCGGAAUUAUUGGGCGUAAAGAGCUCGUAGGCGGUUUGUCGCGUCUGCCGUGAAAGUCCGGGGCUCAACUCCGGAUCUGCGGUGGGUACGGGCAGACUAGAGUGAUGUAGGGGAGACUGGAAUUCCUGGUGUAGCGGUGAAAUGCGCAGAUAUCAGGAGGAACACCGAUGGCGAAGGCAGGUCUCUGGGCAUUAACUGACGCUGAGGAGCGAAAGCAU
rnacentral:rRNA from 1 species